CAGCCGCCACGGGAAUACGAAGGGUGCAAGCGUUACUCGGAAUUACUGGGCGUAAAGCGUGCGUAGGUGGUGGUUUAAGUCCGUUGUGAAAGCCCUGGGCUCAACCUGGGAAUUGCAGUGGAUACUGGUUACUAGAGUGUGGUAGAGGAUAGUGGAAUUUCCGGUGUAGCAGUGAAAUGCGUAGAGAUCGGAAGGAACAUCUGUGGCGAAGGCGACUAUCUGGGCCAACACUGACACUGAGGCACGAAAGCGUGGGGAGCAAACAGGAUUAGAUACCCCUGUAGUCCCUGUCUCUUAUACA
rnacentral:rRNA from 1 species